AUUGAACGCUGGCGGCAUGAUUUACACAUGCAAGUCGAACGGUAACAGGCCGCAAGGUGCUGACGAGUGGCGAACGGGUGAGUAAUGCAUCGGAACGUGCCCAGUCGUGGGGGAUAACUACUCGAAAGAGUAGCUAAUACCGCAUACGAUCUAUGGAUGAAAGCGGGGGACCGUAAGGCCUCGCGCGACUGGAGCGGCCGAUGUCAGAUUAGGUAGUUGGUGGGGUAAAGGCUCACCAAGCCAACGAUCUGUAGCUGGUCUGAGAGGACGACCAGCCACACUGGGACUGAGACACGGCCCAGACUCCUACGGGAGGCAGCAGUGGGGAAUUUUGGACAAUGGGCGCAAGCCUGAUCCAGCAAUGCCGCGUGCAGGAAGAAGGCCUUCGGGUUGUAAACUGCUUUUGUACGGAACGAAACGGCUCUGGUUAAUACCCGGGGCUAAUGACGGUACCGUAAGAAUAAGCACCGGCUAACUACGUG
rnacentral:rRNA from 1 species